AGAGUUUGAUCAUGGCUCAGGAUGAACGCUGGCGGUCUGCUUAACACAUGCAAGUCGAACGGAAUCUUUCGGGAUUUAGUGGCGGACGGGUGAGUAACGCGUGAGAAUCUGCCUUCAGGUUCGGGACAACAGUUGGAAACGGCUGCUAAUACCGGAUGUGCCGAGAGGUGAAAGCUUAAGUGCCUGGAGAUGAGCUCGCGUCUGAUUAGCUAGUAGGAGUGGUAACGGCACCCCUAGGCGACGAUCAGUAGCUGGUCUGAGAGGAUGAUCAGCCACACUGGGACUGAGACACGGCCCAGACUCCUACGGGAGGCAGCAGUGGGGAAUUUUCCGCAAUGGGCGCAAGCCUGACGGAGCAAGACCGCGUGAGGGAAGAAGGUCUGUGGAUUGUAAACCUCUUUUGAUCGGGAAGAAGACAGUGACGGUACCGAUCGAAUCAGCUCGAUUGCCCGCC
rnacentral:rRNA from 1 species